AGGGAAAGAGGGAGGCAUGCUUUACACAUGCGAGUCGAACGGCAGCGCGGGCUUCGGCCUUGCGGCGAGUGGCGCACGGGUGAAUAAUACCUCGGCACGCGCCCUGUAGUGGGGGAUAGCCCGGCGAAAGCAGGAUUAAUCCCGCAUACGACCUGAGGGUGAACGCGGGGGCUCUUCGGACCUCGCGACUUUGGCGGGGCCGAUGGGAGAUUAGCUAGUUGGUGGGGUAAAGGCCUACCAAGGCGACGAUCUGUCGCUGGUCUGAGAGGACGACCCGCCACACUGGGACUGAGACACGGCCCAGACUCCUACGGGAGGCAGCAGUGGGGAAUUUUGGACAAUGGGCGAAAGCCUGAGCCAGCAAUGCCGCGUGUGUGAUGAAGGCCUUCGGGUUGUAAAGCACUUUUGGCGGGAACGAAAAGGACUGUGCCAAUACCACGGUUCGAUGACGGUACCCGCAGAAUAAGCACCGGCUAACUACGUG
rnacentral:rRNA from 1 species